rnacentral:rRNA from 1 species
GACGAACGCUGGCGGCGUGCUUAACACAUGCAAGUCGAGCGGUAAGGCCCUUUCGGGGGUACACGAGCGGCGAACGGGUGAGUAACGCGUGGGUGACCUGCCCUCAGCUCUGGGAUAAGCCUGGGAAACUGGGUCUAAUACUGGAUAUGACUCCACGGUGCAUGUCGUGGGGUGGAAAGCCUUGUGCGGCUGAGGAUGGGCCCGCGGCCUAUCAGCUUGUUGGUGGGGUGAUGGCCUACCAAGGCGACGACGGGUAGCCGGCCUGAGAGGGCGACCGGCCACACUGGGACUGAGACACGGCCCAGACUCCUACGGGAGGCAGCAGUGGGGAAUCUUGCGCAAUGGGCGAAAGCCUGACGCAGCGACGCCGCGUGAGGGAUGACGGCCUCGG